rnacentral:lncRNA from 10 species
CGGCCGGGGCCGGGCGGCCGGGUCGGGUUCCGGGGCGGGCUGGGCCGGCGGAAGGGGUCCGGGUCCUUCCUCCGCCCCAAGCAGCCGGGGCGGUGCACCACCGGCCCCCGCUUCCUUCUCGGGGUUGGGAGGCACCGAGGGCCUCGAGGGGCUGCGGGACUCGGGCUUGGUGUGGAGGGCAAGAGCGCUGCGACGUGCGGACUGGAGAGUCAGCCUUUGGGCUGGAGACACGGGAGCGGGUGGCUACAGUGGUUUACGUUGUUGCACGGGGCGAGUAGAACGUGCUCCCCAAGUGACCUGACAUUGAGCUCCAGCUGUUGUUCUUUGAACACCCAAGACCCUCAUCUCCACCCCAUGGCUGAGGAGUUCUGGAUUUGGGGUUUGAUGGACCAGUAAACCUCUGCAGACACCAUCUAGGGACUGACACUGGGUUGCGAACUUUUUAUUUUGCAAGAUUGAAUAUUUGAAAACAACUCAAACUCCUGUCUAAGGUUCCUGUCUUUUAAAAAACAAACAGAAGGCCAGGCACAGUGGCUCACGCCUGUAAUCCCAGCACUUUGGGAGGCCAAGGUGGGUGGAUUACCUGAGGUCAGGAGUUCAGGACCAGCCUGGCCAACGUGGUGAAACUCCAUCUCUACUAAAAGUACAAAAAUUAGCCAGGCGUGGUGGUGGGCACCUCUAAUCCCAGCUACUUGGGAGGCUGAGGCAGGAGAAUUUCUUGAACCCAGGAGAUGGAGAUUGCAGUGAGCGAAGAUCAUGCCAUUGCACUCCAGCCUGAACGCCAGAGGGAGACUCUGCCUCAAAAAACAAACAAACCAACAAACAAACAAACAGAAAAACAUUGUCACACAGACAAAACCAAUAUGGAAAACUUCCAAAGAAAGGGUGCGGCAUCACUUUAACGGGUGAGCACAGCGGCCCUGGCAGCCUCCAGGCUCUAGGUGGCACUGGAUUCUUUCUGACAAGUCCUCAUCUGGGCUGUCAGAGACCUCCGCUUUGAGCUGCGCUGCCAUAGAGCUCUCUGGAAGUCCCUUGCUCCUCAGGGUCCAGUCCGAAUGCGCCUUUCACGAGGCCUCUCAGGCCAUCCUCAGGAGAAAAUAAUUUCUCACUUUGGCCAGGCGUCGUGGCUCACGCCUUGCAAUCCCAGCACUUUGGAAGGCUGAGGUGGGCGGAUCACUUGAGGUCAGGAGUUCAAGACCAGUCUGGCCAACAUGGUACAACCCCGUCUCCACUAAUUAGCUGGGUGUGGUGGUGGGCGCCUGUAAUCCCAGCUACGUGGGAGGCUGAGGCAGGAGAAUUGCUUGAACCCGAGAGGCAGAGGUUGCAGUGAGCUGAGAUCGUACCACUGCACUCCAGCCUGGGUGACAAGAGCGAGACUGUCUCAAAAAAAAAAAAAAAAAAAAAAUUCCACCUGUGAGGCCGGGCACAGUGGCUCACGCCUGUAAUCCCAGCACUUUGGGAGGCUGAGGUGAGUGGAUCACCUGAGGUCAGGAGUUCGAGACCAGCCUGACCAACAUGGUGAAACCUUGUCUGUACUUAAAAAUACAAAAAUAAGCCGGGCGUGAUGGCAGGCGCCUGUAAUCCCAACUCCUUGGGAGGCUGAGGCAGGACAACUGCUUGAAUCCAGGAGGUGGAGGUUGCAGUGAGCCGAGAUUGUGCCGUGCCAUUGCACUUCAGCCUGGGCAACAAGAGCGAAACUCCGUCUCAGGAAAAAAAAAAAAAAAAAAUUCCGCUUGUCAAUUUUUUAUAGCAGAGACUGCCAUUUUUAGGCAGUGACUGUUCUUUGUCCUUCGAUGUCUGUUCUUCCCAAAUUCUAUAGUAGAACCCUGGGCUUUUAGUUGGACACACGGAUGACUGAAAUAAUGAUAUUUCCUAGUACCCCUUGCUGUGGUCUUGUGACUAAGUUCUGACCAAUGGGAAGUUGAAAUGGGCAGUAUCCUAUUCAAAGAGAUUGGGUGCUGUUCUUUCCUCCUUCCAGCAGACUGGAAUGAGAAUGUAAUGGCUGGAGCAAGGGCAGUCACCCUGCACCAUGAGGCGGCAGCCUUGUGUUUGAGCUGAGGAUGGUAAAACAAGAUAGGAGCCUGUGUCUGAUGAUCAUGAGCAUCACACUAGCUCUGGGCCAACUAUGUUUACAAAAGAGGAGGAAAAUCAUCUCUCUUGUUAAAAGUCACUAUAGUUUGGCUUUUCUGUCAUUUUCAACCAGUCUAGUCCUAGCUAAAACAAACUCCAGCCUAUCUUAGGACAGGGCUGUUCUCUGCUGUUCAAGAGUGGGAGCUCUCUGACGGCAGUGAUGUGUGAUUUGGCUUGGUACCCCCCAAAGGUUAUCAUAUACAGUUGGCAAUCUCAAUACUUUGUGGGAUGAAUUUCAAAGAAAAAAGGUUUCUAGGUUAAGUAUUUGUAAAAACCAAAGUAAUGGCAUUUUGUGCUUUCCUGAUUUAUUAGCCCAUCUCAGGAUUAAAAUAAAAUGAAGUUCUAAAGAAAUUAUCAGAGACUGGGUCACAAAUUUAUAUAAAAGUUUAGUGAGUGCUGCAUUAUUAAGAAUAGUACCAAAAAUGAAAACCUAAGCGUUUAACAAUGGGGGUUGGCGAAAAUAAAUUUUAGAUUGAGAAAAGUGUCAUAACACAAACUUUCAAGGUGACAAAUGAUAGAAACCUGAACCCAAGAUAUAUUUUAAAAAUAUAUCUAUAUACACAUAGCGAAAGCUUAUAAGGAAAUACAGCAAAAUGUUAAUCUCAGCUGGGUGUGGUGGCUCAUGCCUGAAAUCCCAACACUGGCAGGACAAGACAGGAGGAUUGCUUGAGGCCAGGAGUUCAAGACCAGCCUGGGCAACACAGCAAGACCCCAUCUCUAUAAAACAUAAGAAAAAUUACCCAGGUGUGGUGGCAUGUGCCUGGGAGGUCAAGGCUGCAGUGAGCUAGGAUCACACUACUGCACUCCAGAAUGGGCAACAGAGUGAGACCCUGUCUCAAAAAAAGGAAAAAAGCAUCUUUGUGUGACAGGACUACAAAUGAUUAAAAUUUUCUCUUUGCAUUUGCCUUUUUUUUUGAGACAGAGUCUUGCUCUACUGCCCAGGCUCAAAUGAGGUGGCGUGAUCUCGGCUCACUGCAACCUCCGCC